CAAAGCCAUGUUUAGAGGUUUGGGACUUUCAGCCCCACCCUCUAACCUCCAGGGAGGGGAGAUGGGCUGAAGGUUGAGUUGAUCACUAAGGGUCAGUGAUUUAAUCAGUUGUGCUUAGGUAAUAAAGCUUACAUAAAACUCAAAAGGACUGAGUCCAGACAGCUUCUGGAUCGCUAAACAUGUAGAGGUUCCUGGAGGGUGGUGCACAAGAGAGGAGAUCCCAUGCUCCUUCUUCCAUGCCUUGCCCUGUAUAACUCUUCCAUCUGGCUGUUCAUCUGUAUCUUUUAUAAUAUCCUUCAUAAUAAAUGGGUAAAUGUAACUAGAUAAUCAGAAAUCCUAAGACAAGAGGAUGCAUGUUUAGUAAUUGAAGACAUCACUUGAAAGAAUGUAUUCCCUGGUGAGCAUCAUCUGACUCAGCAUCUACAGUUAGAAUAUGAAGGACAAAGAUGAACACACAGCAAAACCAGACACAGCACUUGAUAAAAAAUGGUUAAACCUUUGCAAUUUCAUAUAGAUCAACUAACUUCUAGGUGGCACGGUUUUCUGGUAACAGGGAAGAAUUGGAUAAUGAGCAAAAUGAGAGCUGGCUGACAACUAUUUGGAGUUGUAGUACCUUGUAAUAUCAUGGCUACACAGCUUUCUUCAAAGGAAAAACAAUAUGGUGAGAAGAGGGCCUGGCAUUGAGCCUUGAGGAACUUCAGAAAGAAAGAGAUAAGACUACCAAGGACACCCAGAAGAAGCAUUUUUAUGGUUGGAAAGUAUCUUUGUUGUUAUUAACUUGUUUAAAGCCAGUUUCUGUCAUCUUUAAAAACCACUUUUUGAAAACAAGGAAAUCAUUGUAUUUUCUGCUACAUCCCUGGCAUCUAGCACAGUGCCCAGCCUAUGGUAGACACAUAUAAGCUUAAAGAUGGUCAAAAUGGACUUAAAAAAAGAAAAUCAGAGAAAGAAAUAACUUCCAAUUGCCUGUUUGCAUGUAUUAGUAUGGAGAUUUGUCUUUUAACAUUUAGAGAAAAAAUUACAUGGAAAAAAAUGAG